rnacentral:rRNA from 1 species
AUUGAACGCUGGCGGCAUGCCUUACACAUGCAAGUCGAACGGCAGCACGGGUGCUUGCACCUGGUGGCGAGUGGCGAACGGGUGAGUAAUACAUCGGAACAUGUCCUGUAGUGGGGGAUAGCCCGGCGAAAGCCGGAUUAAUACCGCAUACGAUCUACGGAUGAAAGCGGGGGACCUUCGGGCCUCGCGCUAUAGGGUUGGCCGAUGGCUGAUUAGCUAGUUGGUGGGGUAAAGGCCUACCAAGGCGACGAUCAGUAGCUGGUCUAAGAGGACGACCAGCCACACUGGGACUGAGACACGGCCCAGACUCCUACGGGAGGCAGCAGUGGGGAAUUUUGGACAAAGGGCGAAAGCCUGAUCCAGCAAUGCCGCGUGUGUGAAGAAGGCCUUCGGGUUGUAAAGCACUUUUGUCCGGAAAGAAAUCCUUGGCCCUAAUACGGUCGGGGGAUGACGGUACCGGAAGAAUAAGCACCGGCUAACUACGUG